AUUCCAGCUCCAAUAGCGUAUAUUUAAGUUGUUGCAGUUAAAAAGCUCGUAGUUGGAUCUUGGGUCGUAAGGGUCGGUCCGCCUACUCGGUGUGCACCUGCCCUUCCGUCCCUUUUGUCGGCGGCGUGCUCCUGGCCUUAAUUGGCUGGGUCGCGGUUCCGGCGCUGUUACUUUGAAAAAAUUAGAGUGCUCAAAGCAAGCUUAUGCUCUGAAUACAUUAGCAUGGAAUAACGUGAUAGGAGACUGGUCCUAUUGUGUUGGCCUUCGGGACCGGAGUAAUGAUUAAUAGGGAUAGUUGGGGGCGUUUAUAUUCCGUUGUCAGAGGUGAAAUUCUUGGAUUUACGGAAGAUAAACUACUGCGAAAGCAUUCGCCAAGGAUGUUUUCAUCA
rnacentral:rRNA from 1 species